GUCACGGUUGCGCCUUUUUCGCCGCCUAGAGCGUGACGCCGAAAGUGGGAACCGGUUUCGGUGCUAGUCACGCUCUAACUCUAUGAUUUCGAGCCUUCUUAUCGCUUCAAAACGAUUCCGUUUU
rnacentral:sRNA from 1 species